ensembl:misc_RNA Metazoa_SRP Metazoan signal recognition particle RNA
GCUAGGCAUAAUGGUACUCACCUGUAGUCCCAGCUACUAAGGAGGCUGAGGCAGGAGGAUCAUUUGAGCCUAGGAGUUUAGGCUGUAGUAUGCUAUGCCUAUUGGAUGUCUGCACUAAGUUCAGCAUCAAUAUGGUGACCUCCCAGGAGCAGGGGACCACCAGGUUGCCUAAGGAGUGGUGAACACAGAUUGGAAACAGAGCAGGUCAAAACUCAGAGCAGGUCGAUCUGAUCAAGAGUGGGAUCGUGCCUGUGAAUAGCUACUGCACUCCAGCCUGGGCAACAUAGUGAGACCCUGU